CUGAGGUCUCUGGGAAGGCAGAGCUGUGGUCUAGAAGAUGAGACUGCUGGGUCUUCUCCUGUGCCUGGUGACAGCCCCCCAAGGUGUCCUGUCCCAGGUGCAGCUGCAGGAGUCGGGCCCAGGACUGGUGAAGCCCGCACAGACCCUCUCCCUCACCUGCACUGUCUCUGGUUACUCCAUCACCAGUGAUUACCGCUGGAAUUGGAUCCGCCAGCCCCCAGGAAAGGGGCUGGAGUGGAUAGGGGGCAUACGUUAUGAUGGAGACACUAAAUACAGCCCCUCCCUCAAGAGCCGAACCUCCAUCUCCAGAGACACAUCCAAGAACCAGUUCUUCCUGCAGCUGACCUCUGUGACCACGGAGGACAUGGCUGUGUAUUACUGUGCGAGACACAGUGUCCUGUCUCAGGUGAAGCUGCAGGAGUCUGGCUCAGGACAGGUGAAGCACUCAGAGACACCCCCACCCCCUCACCUGCUCUGUCUCUUUUUACUCCAUCAGCAGUGGUUAGUGCUGGAGCUCAAUCCGCCAGCCCCCAGGAAGGGGCUGGAAUGGAUGGUAUACAUAUGUUAUGAUGGAAACACGUACUACAGCCCCUCCCUCAAGAGCCAAACCUCCAUCUCCAGAGACACGUCCAAGAACCAGUUCUCCCUGCAGCUCAGUUUCAUGACCACUGAGGACAUGGCCGUGUAG